GCUAAAUAUUUUACAGUUCAGGCAGCUUUCCUGUUCUAAUAAUUAAAUUUUUGAACAUUGAAAUGAACUAGGAGUUACGCUAUUCAUUUGCCUCCCAGACUAUAAAA
rnacentral:snoRNA from 1 species